rnacentral:lncRNA from 1 species
GGAUCCCUUCCACCUGGAGACACCUAAUAAUAAGGGCAAAUUUUUGUGGCAUAGUCUUCUCACCAAUGUAUCAAAUGUAAUGAAAGCUUAACCAUAGUUACCCUCAUUUUCUCUGACAGAAAACAGAUCAUGCAGCUAAGUGAACAACUGAAAACAGUGUAUGAAUUUCAAGAUCUGGAAGAAACCACUGUAAGACUGAGGAAUGAAACAGAUCUCUUGCUUGAAUACCUUCAGCAGCAGAUGAAUUUGCAAUCCAGUGUCCUGAAUGCAAGUAUUGUGGAUUGCUUAGAAAACAUCAAGAAGUAUUAUCACAUAUCAUCAUCUGCUGAAAAGAAAACUAACAAAACUAGUUCCAUCAUAAAUAACUCUAAAAACGCCAGAAUCGGCUUGCUUACCAUUUUGGAUACACUGACCUCAAAAGAAAACUUGUUGGAGAAAUUAAAACAGAUUAAAAUAACAGAUAUCCAAAUUUUGAAUGAAAAGGAGGUGUGCGGAGGACCAGGGAACCUGUCGUGCAGCCUCUCGCCCUGUGGGGGCGCUCUCUGCACGGGCCCCGGCGGGCGCAGGCGGUGCGGCGGGCCUAGCUGUCAAGGCGCCCUGAUGCUCGAGAGCGACGCGCUCGGAAAGGCCCAGGAGGCGGAGUCUGUGAGUCAGAAUCUGGACAACCAGGCCCAAGGGCUGAAGAAUCGGAGGAAAACGUGCCUCCCGAGGACAUACAGAAGGUCGCGAAUCAUGUCCUUGACAUCCACCUACCAAUAA